GCUAAUUUGGCAGAUAAUUGUGUCAAAUUUAGAAUUUGAGUAUGGUUUAUAACCAGUUAGUAC
rnacentral:tRNA from 1 species